GAGUUCCAAUCAGAGCGCGCCAGGGGGCUCCUCCUGGGCAGGAACCACCCGGCUCGGCGGCGCAGGGUGGGCCGCCGUCACCUGACCGCCCGCCCCCGCCCCCCGCGAGUAAGGGGCGGUGGUAGCGUCUGCUCGGUUACAAAUGGCCCCUCCCGCCCCGCUCGCCCGCUCGCUCGAGCUCGGCGCGGACCCGCCCGGGCGCGCUCCUCCCGCGGCUCCCGGCGUCCCGCCGCCCAGCCCGGAGCGGGCCCGCGGGCCCCGCCACCCUGGAGGGCGCCGCCGGCACCCGGCGCGGAGGCUCGCCGGCGGAGGUCGCUGCGGGGGGCUAGACCCCGGCGGCGCGCCGCUCUCCCCCCGCAGGUCUUCCUUUGAAAUAGUGGAUGGUGACUCGGCUCUUCUGCCUGAGAGUGGUUCAAAAUGUAAGUUAAACAACCCAAUAAUGAAAUAUCAGUAA
rnacentral:lncRNA from 12 species